AACGCUGGCGGCAGGCUUAACACAUGCAAGUCGAGCGGGCGUAGCAAUACGUCAGCGGCAGACGGGUGAGUAACGCGUGGGAACGUACCUUUUGGUUCGGAACAACACAGGGAAACUUGUGCUAAUACCGGAUAAGCCCUUACGGGGAAAGAUUUAUCGCCGAAAGAUCGGCCCGCGUCUGAUUAGCUAGUUGGUGAGGUAAUGGCUCACCAAGGCGACGAUCAGUAGCUGGUCUGAGAGGAUGAUCAGCCACAUUGGGACUGAGACACGGCCCAAACUCCUACGGGAGGCAGCAGUGGGGAAUAUUGGACAAUGGGGGCAACCCUGAUCCAGCCAUGCCGCGUGAGUGAUGAAGGCCCUAGGGUUGUAAAGCUCUUUUGUGCGGGAAGAUAAUGACGGUACCGCAAGAAUAAGCCCCGGCUAACUUCGUGCCAGCAGCCGCGGUAAUACGAAGGGGGCUAG
rnacentral:rRNA from 1 species